UGGACCGAAUGUGAGUUCUAGGUGUUUGCAUGCUUUCUUCAUAAUUAAAUGUUUAAGCUCUUAAGGAUGAAAUUAAAAAUAGACUAGCAGGUCUGUUAGGAAGCCUGAGCAGAGACCAUGCAGAGAUCCUGUGUUUAGCAAAUAUAUUGCUGAAGCUUUACAUCACAGACUGGCUUCUACUUUCACCAUUUCCAGGCAACUCUAUUUCUAACAGUGCUUCUCGGAAUCCUGUUUUCUGUAUCGCCUCAUUGAUGUUCUCUCUCCAGCAAAGAGGUUUUCUAAGUGAUGGAUGUGAGUUCCUUGGAGGUCUACCCUACAUCCUUGCCCAGGAAGGGCAGCCUUUGGUAUUAGUCCCAUCAUACCUGGUCCGGAAGAAGCGCCUCUGUAUGUCUACCGAGGCGCUAAGACAACCAAGAUGCAGUUCACAAUUGCUGGAGAAAAUAGGCUCCAAGAGUGGAACUCGGAUCUCUGAGGUCUCUUAAGCAAGACCUAGUCUUCAUACCUCUGAUGUAGAAAGAUGCAUGAGGGGACUUUCCAAGAUGACCCUCUGAGGAGUGCACUAAAAAGCUCUGGAGAGCUUGAGGCCUUUACUAUAGAGAGAGGAACAAAAGCUGAAGCAACUCUGGCACCUUGGAUAUGUUAAAUGGAGAGAAGACUUGUGUGAUGCAAGCAUCUACUGAAAUGCCCCCACUCACCCAGAAAGAUGCGCUCCACUGGUUCUUCCCUCUGUCCUAGUGAACUCAUUCAUCUUCCCAAUUGAUUUUUAUGGCAGUGGUUGCUGAAGGGGCCACAAAGCAUCCAACGAAGAGUACGUCUACAGAGAUGGUCCACGUUUCUGCAUCCAGGCUGUUUCCAAUGCAUCUUGCUCUGGAGCAAAGCAGGACUGGGCUGCCACAAGCCUGAUGAAGUUGCGAAGAAAGUCCCAGCUUCUCCAAGGGCCACAGGAGUGAGCCCUGCAAGAGAGUGUGGUGUCACCAGUGGGCCAUGAGUGCAUGGGAGUGCAUCAGAAAGGAGACAGGGGCCAGAGCCAGCAUGGCUGAACAGCUGUCCCAGAGGGACCUGCUUUGCUGCAGGAAGAUGCUGCCCAGGACACUAAGAUUUCUGUUGCUAGAGCUAAGCAUUACUUAGAGAUGAGAUGUGCCGCUGCUGCUUUGCUCUUGCCGUUUUGGAGAUUGGGGUCUGUCUGGCCAGGUCCAGGAAGAGGUGGGAAGGUGGACAGGCUUGCAGUACUGUUUGAAAAUUGCACAGACCUGUGGAGUUGGGAGAAGAAGGAAAACACCUUCAGGUAAAGGAAGGUUUCUUAGAUGGAUCGUGUCACAUAUUCAGAAGUUCAUUUGCAGCAGUUGUGACCUCUGAUGAAUGAUGGAGGGAGUGAAGGAUAAAACAGAAGGCAAAAACAAGGACCAGGAAUUAAUUUGGAUAUUUGAACUUUGAGUGGACUUUUUUUUUUCCCUUCCGCUGCAGGAAGAAGCUUUGAAUGUGGUGCCAGCACAGCACCAGGCGGUGUGAGAGGAACUGAGACAAGUACUUCUGAUACAAUCAGACAGAUUACAAAGCCCUCGCUGAAGGAGGCUUUCUGGCCAGCGCUUGCCACUAGAGGAUAAGCUUGGGGUUUUGUUGAGCCCUGUGUGAAUGACCCAUUAACUCCAGAGCAACUGGGAGGCCUUGAGUGUCUACGAGUGACAAACUGGGAGUGCAUGGCUACUUUGACUUCUUUUUUCUUUCAUGUUCCAAGUGCAAGAAAUGUACCAACAGCUGGUACUGAGACAGGCCAUUAGCUAAUGAAGUUAAGCUGUACUUGGCUCUUGCUCCAAUAAGAAAACUACAUUAGAGAUCUUGAAGCCUUGGCAUUAUAUAAAACCUUUCAGUGGGUUUUAUUUUAGUCUCACUGAGGUGAUGCUGCCAUGGACUGAGGAAUGCAUCAUGACUUUGCGCGAGAAUGAAGAGGCUGCAUAAGCUAAUCUUUGGCAGAGCUGGGAAUGGAUGCCACUUUCAUCAAACUGCUUCUUUACAUGUAUCAUUAGCAUACUUGGCUGGGACACCACUGCUCCUCCCACAGAUCAGAAGGACAUGGGAUGCCUCUUCCUGGAGCUCUACCUUCCCUCAGCUGUCCUAGGCUGGCUCUUAGGAGCUAUUGCUGCUGCAAUGGGCACCCACAUCUGCAGGCCACCAGGAACUGCAGAGCAGAGUUUCUGAGCCAUGGCACAGAGAAGCAGCAGGAUUGCUCUGCGGGGUGCCAGCUGCUCCAGCCUCAAAAGAGGCACUCCUGCUGCCAAGCCAUAAUGGACCACACCAGUCCUCCAGCUAUGCUGUCCUUUUCCCCAUCUGUGUCACAGCUGGGAAAUGACACACCAUUCCUGCUGCUUCAUGGGUUUUGCCUACACCCAGGAAAGAUACAACCCAUGAGUUCACUUGGGUUGCUGCCACCUUUGGGCUGUCAGGAUGGUGUGCAGAACAGCAGGAGCCAGAGACAAAAUCCAUACCACUGUCAUUCGUGUUGGGCAUCUUAUCGAUAUCAGAAAAAGGACCUGAAACUUCUAGGCAUUACUUUGUAUCAGAGCUUUGAGCUCAUGGAUGUCUUAGAUUUGGGAGAAGAAUGGAUGGUGAGUGUGUGAUGUACAUCUGCUACCUGCAGAGACUCUCAGGAGAGCAGUGUGGCAUAAUUCUGUGUCUGUUCACAAGCUGCAACACCAUGGCAUUCGGGGGAUGGCUGUGGUGAAACAGCGGUCAAGUUUUGUUGUCUCAUGUAGAAAGAGAUGAUGCCAGGCAGCUGGCAGCACAGGCUUUCACCUGCAAAUUGGUGUGAGAAAUCAGCUGGCACUGCCACUCCUGUUAACAGGCAGCAUUUGCUCCGUUACCUCUUGUCAUCUCCAUAACCAGAGUCUGAGGUUUCCAUGGCCUGCGGACCCCCAUUUGGUUGUACUGUCUGCCUACUCGGGCAAAUGUCUUAAUUUGUGUGCAGGCAAUGUUCUGAAUGCUAUAUCCAAAAAUGUGAUGCUUCAGUGUAAAAUGAGCAUUGCCUGCAGCGGAAUAAGUGGCUAGAAAACUUUGGCGCUCUGAGGCAUGCAGAGAGCAGGUGCCAGAGCGCAGUGAUCACCCAUUUUUCUAAACCAGCAACACUUACAGCCCUACUGACAGAGGUUGAUUCACACUAGAAAUAAAUCCAAUAUGCAUGAAAGGACUUUCGUUGUUCUUCAGCAGAGAGCAUAAAGAAAGACUGUCAGACAAACUAAUCUCUCUCUGAUAGUUUUCUUUUCAACAUCAUUGAACUGUCAUUUCUCCUGGUCUUUGCCAGAAUGCUUGAUAUAUCCGUUGUUUCCCAAAACAGACAGAUUUUGCUAGCUUGGGUGAUACAGGAAAUUUUGCCAGGAAGAGAGAGGCUGAGAUGCCUUUCCAGCCUUUUGCUAUUUUUGUGUAGAUCCUUUGCUACACUCCAGAGCUCUGGUUGGAGAUGAAAGGAAGGUAUCUUGGUGACUGAUUCAGUUGUAUCUGUGAGUGCAGCCAUGGAAUUGUUCCCAACACUUGCCCUGUGCUGGCAGCACGUUUGCUGGGGUUUUGGGAUUCUACUUUUUCUGGAAAUAAACCCAUUUAUGCUCCCAGAUCUUUCAUUUCAAAACUAGUGAUUCAAAGAAUGGCCCUAGGCACCACUGUGUCACCUAGCUGCAGUUAGAAAGUAGCCCAAACUAGAGAGUUCCUUUGUUUUUUUUCCCAGUUGUCCUGAGAGCUGGUAAAGCAUUCACUCCUUCUAGGCAUGUGUGAAUAGUCAGUAAGAUUACUAAAACUGAGAGGAAAAUAAAUCUAAAUGUCCCUUCUCAAGACUGUGAUGAAAGAUAUCUACACUGAGCAACCUCCUCCUCCAGCUGGGGACUCACUGAGGUGUCUGACAUAGGCAUGUAUGGUCAGUAAGGCUGCAUGUCCUCCACAAGCUCUUGCAGAGGAAUUUAGCAAAAAUGAGAUUCUGAAGAGGGGCAAACUGGAGGAGCCCAAACACCACCACGAUCUGGCAAAAUGAAUCCUACAUCCCGUUUGUAGUGAGCUCUAAUGUUAUUUUUUUUCUAACUGUGCUUCAACUAUCUACUCCCUAAGUUAUCCUGGAUAUCAAUACCAUUGAAGAAUUUAGGUUAUUACCUUCAGUGUUCAAUAUACCUCUUUUUUUCCCUUGGAAAAAGUGGUUUUUUUGGGUCCUCAGGGCAGCCAGUGAAUCUGUACAGAUCUGGAAGGGGCUGAAGAAUGGUGGUCCCAUUCUGUAGCUUGGAGUGGUUCGCUCUCUGUGUAACUGAAAGCACCACAUGAAUUAGUCAAUAUUUCCAUAUUUUCUUCCUAGUGCAGGGCUGCCAACAGUAUAAAGUAGGCAGAGUUUUGGGCUGUAAGAAAUGCUGGUUUAUUUGUUAGAAAUGUUUAAUGAUUGAUUGCCAGAUGGAUUUCAGCCCACACCCCUGCAGGGCAUAUGCACCAGAAUGCUCUCUUUGCCAUCGUACCAGGACCACCUGCAAGAGGUACCUUUUCUGUGUGGUGUGAUGCAUAUUCUACGGAGGACCUAGUAAGCAAACAUUUUGUAUGGAUAAAGUUGAACACAGUGUGCUGCAUGCAGAAUUUUGAAAGCUAACUGUUCCCAUGUUUUUUGACAGUGUGACUUUUAACAGUUUGUGUUAAAUGUGACUUAUACAGUUUUAAAAGUGUACAGGGAGAUUAGUGAUAACUAAAGAUAACACACAGUUAAAAAUAACGUGCAACAACAUUUAAAUCCAUGUAGGUUAAUCUGGACACAUUGAAGAGCAGUUUCUGAGUCAGUAAUUACUUAACUUGGCUGUGAUUAUUUUGUUUCAUUUCCAGAUUAACUACAGAUAUUUGUCUAAACUGGGUGGCUGCUGAGAUUUUAAAAGUGGGAGCAGGAAACUUUGCAGUCAGUUUUACAACACAAUUAAUUGCUCAUCCUUUCAGAACUGAUUCUUUCCCCACCAUUUCACACCUGCCCAACACCAUGACCGAAGUCCGCAAACACUUGUCCACUUGCAUGUCCUCCAUACAUGAACAGGCCCAUGGGGCUCAUUUUCAUUAGAUACAACUUUGCUAACUAUAAAUCUUCUGCAGCACGAAGGCCACACCACAUAUACAUAUUCUUACUCUGCACUUCAAGAUUCUUUUCAUCCUAUUGUAUGUUGUUUGGGGUUGUACAAGUUGUUAGGUACAAAUUUCUUCUUAGUCUGGUAGGAGCACCAGUUUGCAUCAUAGUUUGUCUUCUCACAUCUGCAAGGUAUUUGUCCAAUACCUGAGAUGUCCAAGAACAUCUCAGACUUGAUCUAUGAUGGUCUGUGCAUUGCUAACGUCUGUACUCUAAGGAAGUGUACCGCUGUUACUGAUGUACUGCAUGGAUGACUGAUGGUGUAGAUCUAAAGUUAACUAGGUGUUCUCUCUAAAGGCGACAUAUGAUAUUAUAUUUGGGCAAAGAGGAAUUCCCUGCAUAAUCUUUAGAGACAGAUGUAUUACAUUUUAUGAUUUCUCUGGUAUUUAUGCAGGGUUACAGAAAUACAGUUAAAAGGCUUUAAAUUUUUCCAGUUCUGUAUUCUGAUUGCAUGUACAGCUACUUAUUUUCUAAUAAACAGGAUCUCAGUUGAAAAAAAUGUACAACCUUCACUCCUUGACCUUCCCACUUUUGAAUCUGCAGUUUCCUUAGAUGCCUCCAUGAAGCACCUACAGCUGGUUAAGAGGUUUGACAUAUCCAACAUCAUGUAAAUGGGUGUGUCUGUGGGAGUUAGGAAGCAAGUCUUCCUCUGAACUUGCUCCAUCUCUUAUUUUCUUCCAUAGCUCUUAGAAAAGGGUCUGUCUUUUCUUAAUCCCUGUCUGUGGAGAGAGAGUUUCAUGUUCUCACUGUGCUGCCAUACUUAUCUGAGAUGCUUUUUCCAAAUCCUAGCCAUAGGUUGCUCCAUCUUUACCUUGUCUAUAGUUUAGCCCUUUCACUUUCAGCUGUCUCCACAGAGUGUUGGUGGUAGUCUGCAUAACAAGAAAUUAGGUUAUGAAAAAGUAUAUAUUA